AUUGAACGCUGGCGGCAGGCUUAACACAUGCAAGUCGAGCGGAGCGAGGGUGCUUGCACCUUAGCUUAGCGGCGGACGGGUGAGUAAUGCUUAGGAAUCUGCCUAUUAGUGGGGGACAACAUUCCGAAAGGAAUGCUAAUACCGCAUACGCCCUACGGGGGAAAGCAGGGGAUCUUCGGACCUUGCGCUAAUAGAUGAGCCUAAGUCGGAUUAGCUAGUUGGUGGGGUAAAGGCCUACCAAGGCGACGAUCUGUAGCGGGUCUGAGAGGAUGAUCCGCCACACUGGGACUGAGACACGGUCCAGACUCCUACGGGAGGCAGCAGUGGGGAAUAUUGGACAAUGGGCGCAAGCCUGAUCCAGCCAUGCCGCGUGUGUGAAGAAGGCCUUAUGGUUGUAAAGCACUUUAAGCGAGGAGGAGGCUACUUUAGUUAAUACCUAGAGAUAGUGGACGUUACUCGCAGAAUAAGCACCGGCUAACUCUGUGCCAGCCGCCGCCGUAAAAC
rnacentral:rRNA from 1 species